rnacentral:rRNA from 1 species
GGCUUACACAUGCACGUCGAACGAUGAUCCCACUGGUGGGUGGAUUAGUGGCGAACGGGUAAACGUGAGUACCUGCCCUUGACUCUGGGAUAAGCCUGGGAAACUGGGUCUAAUACCGGAUAUGACCUUCCAUCGCAUGGUGGUUGGUGGAAAGCUUUUGUGGUUUUGGAUGGACUCGCGGCCUAUCAGCUUGUUGGUGGGGUAAUGGCCUACCAAGGCGACGACGGGUAGCCGGCCUGAGAGGGUGACCGGCCACACUGGGACUGAGACACGGCCCAGACUCCUACGGGAGGCAGCAGUGGGGAAUAUUGCACAAUGGGCGCAAGCCUGAUGCAGCGACGCCGCGUGAGGGAUGACGGCCUUCGGGUUGUAACCUCUUUC